rnacentral:rRNA from 1 species
UACAGAGGUCCCGAGCGUUGUUCGGAUUCAUUGGGCGUAAAGGGUGCGUAGGCGGCGCGGUAAGUCGGGGGUGAAAUCUCGGGGCUUAACUCCGAAACUGCAUUCGAUACUGCCGUGCUUGAGGACUGGAGAGGAGACUGGAAUUUACGGUGUAGCGGUGAAAUGCGUAGAUAUCGUAAGGAAGACCAGUGGCGAAGGCGGGUCUCUGGACAGUUCCUGACGCUGAGGCACGAAGGCCAGGGGAGCAAACGGG